rnacentral:lncRNA from 1 species
AGGGUUAAAAUAUGCGUAUUGAGAAUGUAGAUGCUAUUGAGGCUAUUGAUGUAGGGAGUGAUGAAAUUGAAAAGAAGAAAAAGAAGAAGAGCAACAACAACAAAGAGAAUGAGGAGGCUAUUGGGGCUAUUGCUGUUGUUGACGGUGCAAUCGAUGCAGGGGCUGAGGAUGAAACCGAAAAGAAGAAAAGAAAAAGAAAAGAUGCAGCAGAGGAGUAGAUGAGCAGGUUUCAGAACUUUACUUUUAAUUACAAAAUCUUUUUCUAUUGCUUGUAUUUUUGGCAACUAUUGUUACUUUGUUGUAAUUUUAGUGUUUUGCUUUUUGAAAAUUAAGAAUUUAGUCCCUAUAUUUGUAUUUCUAGAAAUUUAUCUUCUUUACUUUUC